rnacentral:rRNA from 1 species
UAAUACAUGCAUAUACGUUCAACUUCUGUUGGAUGUGCUUUUAUUAGUGCAAACCAUGUCCUUCGGGACUGCAGGUGGCGACUCUGAAUAACUUUGCCGAGCAUUUCAGCCUUGUGCUGGUGCUAUUCCUUCAAAGUAUCUGCUCUAUCAACUGUCGAUGGUAUAUUAUAUGUUUACCAUGGUUGUAACGGGUAACGGGGAAUUAGGGUUCGAUUCCGGAGAGGGAGCCUGAGAAACGGCUACCACAUCUAAGGAAGGCAGCAGGCGCGCAAAUUACCCAAUCCCGGCUCGGGGAGGUAGUGACAAAAAAUAACAAUGCGGGACUCAAAUGAGGCUUCGUAAUUGGAAUGAGUACAUUCUAAAUCCUUUAACGAGGAACUAUUGGAGGGCAAGUCUGGUGCCAGCAGCCGCGGUAAUUCCAGCUCCAAUAGCGUAUAUUAAAAUUGUUGCGUCUAAAAAGCUCGUAGUUUGAAAACUUGCCUUGGCUUACAUUUGGUUCCCAAUGGGGGCCGCCGUUUGUUGAGAGCAAAUAUCGAUGACUGUUUUUGCCGACUUAACUGUCCGGCUUAUAAGAGUUAUCAAAUAUCACUUUGAUUAAAUUAGAGUGCUUAAAGCAAGUGUGUUACUUGGAUAUAAAUGCAUGGAAUGAUGGAAUAUGUUGUUGUUCUAUUUGUUGGUUUUUGAACGAUAAAAUGAUUGAAAGGAACUGUUGGGGGCAUUCGUAUUGUUGUGAGAGAGGUGAAAUUCUUAGACCACAGCAAGACGAACUACUGCGAAAGCAUUUGCCAAGAAUGUUUUCAUUGAUCAAGAACGAAAGUUAGAGGUUCGAA